AACCAAUGUUCAGGCAUCCACAGCAGCUGCUGUCCAAAUGUCAGCGCCAGCCCUGUCGAAAGAGCUUGAAAGCCACUAGGCUCGGGAAGGAUGUGCACCCACAUUUUCCCCAAGCACUCUCAGGAACCUGGCAACAGCUAAAGUCUGAGAAAAUAAACGCCUGCUGCGGGUUAGCCUGCUCUCGGGCAUCCCCUGGUGGCGGAUCUCGGAACUACAUGUAGAUGCUCAGCGUCCGGAGGCUCAGCCUCUAGGAAUCUGCUUCAAGACUGAGAGAAGAGAAUUCACCAAGGAUGUAAGAAACACAAAGAAAGGCACUUUGGCGUGUCCUAUUCAGAGGUGUCACUGUGGUUCUUAGAAUAGGAAAAACUACCGGUGGUAACCAUCGAACACUGUAUUGGCCCCUUGGCCCACAAAGGAUGCCUGCUCCUCAGGGAUAUGCAACAGGAUUGGCAGAACGGAUGAAACACACCUUAUUAUCUGUGUCAUUGACAGAGGAGGCCACAGAUUGAGAAUGUGUCCCGGUGCCCCUCUGGCUCUCUCCCACCUCAUGACCAUUGACGUGUUCCCCACAGACUGUAUUUAAACUGCUACCCUAGUGGGCUGGGGUGUAGUUCAGUGGUGCCUAGCAUGUACAGGGCCCUGGGAUAGAUCCUCAGCAUGGGAGGCAGGGAGGAGAGAGGCUGUUAGGUGCUUAUCAUCUGCCAAAUUUCAAUUAAAAAUCCAACCUACAAACCUUUUGAAGUCAGAAUUAAACUUGGUAUCAAUUUACUCUCCCCAACCCUCUCCUCCUCCUCAUUCACUGAACGUUAAUAAAGCUGUAGCUGCUCUCAUUAAAUUCUUAAAACAGCCCUGCUGAGGAGGAGGGAUGGUUUUAGUUCAGCAGAUGAAAAGAAGGCUGAGAGUUGCCUUGCCCCGGCUCUAACAGGAUGGACUUGGCUGGGAACUGGGUUCUUCCCACUGAAGUCUCCACACUUUCAAAGAGCUGCCUCCUGACUCUGUUCUUAAGACUCUUCUUUGAAGCUGGGCAUGGUGGUGAGCACCUGUAAUCUCAGCACUGGGAAGGUAGCAGGAGAUUCAAGAGUUCAGGGCUAGGCUCAGCUACAUAGUGAGUUUAAGGCCAGCCUGGGUUAUGUGGGACCCAAUGUCAAAACAACAAUGACAAGAGAUAUUCCUUUGAACCCUGUGAGAACAUGCUGUGUCCAGGAACCCAUAUUGGAAGCUCUCAGCAACAGUAUUUGGAAUGCAGGGCUUUGAGGAUGUCAGCCAGCUGAUAACGGUUUUGGGGUGAUAAAAGGCCCACAUCGCCAGUACUCUCUUGCAGAAGUAAGAGCUCCCAUCAGGGGCAUCCUGCAGUGGCUUCUCACUUUCUUUACUUUUGUCCCUGACCCUCAAGAGCUUAGUGGGUACACCAGGUCUUAUAUUUUUAAAGGGCCAAGGUCAAAUUUGAUAACAACUUUUCUCACAUUGUCUGGUGGAGUCCUACAUGUCCACUGGUUUAUCACAGUGCAGAGUUUGUGACAUACAUUUUUGGUUUUUAUUAUGAUGGUAAUAGGGGUGCCUCUUUCCACAGGCUGGGAUGAUGUCUGUAUAAAUCCAGAAUGGUACUGUAUGGUGUGCCCCUGGGGGUAAACAGUGCACACUUACAAGGUUGUAUACGUAUUUUGAAAGCUUUUCUAUCAUUCUGUUUCACUUUUUCUCACCCCUCUACCCUGAGCCUGUAAGUGGAGCAAAAUAAAGUAGCUCUUUUUUUUUUCUUUGCCCACUAUGGCUUGUACUGUCAGGAGGGCGGGUCCAUGCUAGGUUCAUCUGGGGGCCGACUGAUUUGAUAGGAUCAGGAUCCUGGCUAGUUUGUCUUCAAAGGGAACUUUUCAUUCAUUAAAGCUGUACCUAUUGCACAAUUUGGGAAUCACUUUUUAAGCGCAUAAUUCCAAUCCAAGUGAUAACUAAGAUAAGCCUUAUAACACAGCUUGACUUUCUGACUAAACUGAAGCGGGGUAUAGCACUUGCUUAGUGUAAUGGAGGCCCCCGGCUCUGACCCCAGUACUGCAAAACAAUUCUCCCAAACUGAUGUGUGGAUGGACAGCUAUGUUAGUGACCCGCACAGUUAAAUAGAUCAAACAUCCGACAUUUUUAUGACCCCCAAACAAGCACUGCCUCCUGGUGUGGAUUAGAUUGAAAACGGCAAUAAAACCUGUUUCCUUUUCCGGAUUUCUACUGUCGUAAGUC